CCACUACUGAGGAGUCCCACAAUAGGACGAAACGGCCGUCCAGUAC
rnacentral:hammerhead_ribozyme from 1 species